rnacentral:tRNA from 1 species
AAAAUCCGUCGACUUUAUAAGUCGKGUGGGUUCAAGUCCCUCUAUCCCCA